GAUUCACGCAUAUUCAAAACAUUAGAGAGAAAUUAAAUAAUGUGUACGAGGAAUUGUUUAGAAGAUUCCAACAAUACAUUGCAGCAGACGACCAUCAUUUUAAAUACUUAUAGCCGAAACAUCAAUGAAUUCCAAAGUAUCUCCUAAGAUAUUUUAAAUGCUUAUGAAUGUGUACAUUCGAAUGUGCGAAUCAGUGUGCUGUGGAACCCGCGAUAUCAUGUGCGCAGUAACUCCAAUUACAAUAUCAAAUAUCAAAAAUAAAUUAGCAAUAUAUUAUAUGCAUUAUAUAAUUGCAAUAUAUUAACAAAUAUCUUAAAAAUAAAUGAUCGUGUGGUUCUGAAUAGAUUAUUGAAUUUGUUUUACAUUCUCUACAAAAAUAUCCAAUAUAGGUUAAUCAUAAAAAAUGAAAAUAACGAUGAUCUUGAGAUCUUGUAAAUAAACGAUCAUUGGAAAAAAGAUAUUUCUAGCAUUACAUUUGUUUCUUAAAAUAGUGCAACUUUGUUCUCAGAAGUUUUUUUCUUUGUACCAGAAAAAUAGUGAAGAUAUUUUAGGUGAUUUCAUUUAGCUGGUCCACUCUAUAUAUACUUACACAAUGUAAUAUAAUUUAACAAUAAAAUUUAAGUAUAUAUUGCUUAAAAGCUAAACAUGUUUAUUUACUCAUCAAUUAAUAUUUUAAUUUUACAAUUAAACAAAAAUAACUAAACUAUUUAUUACAAACUAUUUGUUAAUUACAGAAUAGUAUUUUCUUAAUGUGAUAGUGAAUUAGAGGUCCAAAGAGAUAAUACUAAAAAUAUACACUCACUUGAACAUAUAAAUUUAAAUCUUUGUUUGCUACUAUUUCUCAUUACUGCCAAUGUCAGGGAGAGGAUGCUGGGAACAGUGAAAAACAAAUAAAAAAAAGGGAAAAAUGAAUUAAAUAUUAUUAAUCUUUUCCUUUCUACUUUUGGAAUGAUCUUAUUAGAAUUUCAUGAGGAUAACAAAUACGAGAUGGCCACCAACGAUAAUUACCAAGUUUAACCCAUACAACCUCUCCAUAUAGAGGCAAUCUACCUGUUUCACAAUCUUCACAAUGAAAUGCACCUUCUGGGGGGGCAUUACCCAAACAUUCCAUGUGAAAUGACGUUGGACAUGUAUCACAACAGAUAAGACUUCCACCUCUUGUACAUAAAAAACACCAUGCUGCGUUUACUGGAGGAUGUGGUGC